UUCUGGUUAGUUUAGUGGCUAUGACGGCGCCUUGUCAUGAUGGUUGGUCAUGCCUGACGCUCGGCGCAGACCCGGGUUCAAUUCCCGGACCGGAAG
rnacentral:tRNA from 1 species